AACCAGCUCUUCAAGUGGUCGGGAUGAUUAUUGGGCUUAAAGUGUCCGUAGCCGGUUUAGUAAGUUCCUGGUAAAAUCAGGUAGCUUAACUAUCUGUAUGCUAGGAAUACUACUAUACUAGAGGGCGGGAGAGGUCUGAGGUACUACAGGGGUAGGGGUGAAAUCUUAUAAUCCUUGUAGGACCACCAGUGGCGAAGGCGUCAGACUGGAACGUGCCUGACGGUGAGGGACGAAAGCCAGGGGAGCGAACCGGAUUAGAUACCCGGGUAGUCCUGGCCGUAAACGAUGCAUACUAGGUGAUGGCCCGGCCAUGAGCCGUGUCAGUGCCGUAGGGAACCGUUAAGUGUGCCGCCUGGGAAGUACGGUCGCAAGGCUAAAACUUAAAGGAAUUGGUGGGGGAGCACCACAAGGGGUGAAGCCUGCGGUUC
rnacentral:rRNA from 1 species